rnacentral:rRNA from 1 species
CCUACGGGUGGCAGCAGUGAGGAAUAUUGGUCAAUGGGCGCGAGCCUGAACCAGCCAAGUAGCGUGAAGGAUGACUGCCCUACGGGUUGUAAACUUCUUUUAUAAAGGAAUAAAGUGAGGCACGAGUGCCUUUUUGUAUGUACUUUAUGAAUAAGGAUCGGCUAACUCGGUGCCAGCAGCCGCGGUAAUACGGAGGAUACGAGCGUUAUCCGGAUUUAUUGGGUUUAAAGGGAGCGUAGAUGGGUUGUUAAGUCAGUUGUGAAAGUGUGCGGCUCAACCGUAAAAUUGCAAUUAAUACUGGCAGUCUUGAGUACAGGAGAGGUAGGCGGAAUUCGUGGUGUAGCGGUGAAAUGCUUAGAUAGCACGAAGAACUUCGAUGGCGAAGGCAGCUUACUAAACUGCCACUGACAUUGAUGAUCGAAAGUGUGGGUAGCAAACAGGAUUAGAUACCCGAGUAGUC